UUUAUCCACCCAUAAUGUUUGAAGCAGCAUCUGCUCCCACCUGAUUUAAUUAAUAAGCCAUGCAAUAUGGCCUGAUCUCCAGAGCAGUGUGAAAGCUGUGUGGUUUCUUCAGAAAGUAAUACCUCUUACACAAACAUUCACGCCAGCGUGUCAGAGCAGACGUGUGGUGCUUGCUGAGCAGUGAUCACAUGAGGAAGAAGGCCGGUCCUGUAAGUGAUGUACUUUAUAGGGAAGAUUGACUCGGCAUUCUACAUCCUGAAGAGGGAUGCAGACGGUGUCACUUUGUCGCGCUAGAGAUGUGCCUAGAAUGUGACUGUAUGAGCAGCGACCGAAGCAGCGACAUCAUUCUUCUGAGAAGACCCUGCAGAAGGUUAAACUUCACCAGCUUCUAAAGGGAUAAUUCCAGCAAAUCCUGGUCUUUCCAGCAGGAAUUCGCAGAGAUGCAGAGGAGCGAAGCACAAACAGGUUCCAGGUCCUGCUCUUUGGCUGGACCACAAGGAAAGCAGGAAAAAAGUUUUAAACACUCAUACUUAAGGUUGCUGAACUUGGGAACAGACACCUGAAGAAUGAGGUCACACCCC